GACGAACGCUGGCGGCGUGCUUAACACAUGCGAGUCGAACGGAAAGGCCUGCUUUCCCUUGUGGAUUGCGGGUACUCGAGUGGCGAACGGGUGAGUAACACGUGAGUGAUCUGCCCCCAACUUGGGUAUAAGCCUGGGAAACUGGGUCUAAUUCCCGAUAGGACUGCAGGGUGGUGCCUGUGGUGGAAAACGAUUUUCUAGUGGUUGGGGAUGAGCUCGCGGCCUAUCAGCUUGUUGGUGGGGUAAUGGCCUACCAAGGCGGCGACGGGUAGCCGGCCUGAGAGGGUGGACGGCCACAUUGGGACUGAGAUACGGCCCAGACUCCUACGGGAGGCAGCAGUGGGGAAUAUGGCACAAUGGGCGGAAGCCUGAUGCAGCGACGCCGCGUGGGGGAUGACGGCCUUCGGGUUGUAAACUCCUUUCGACCGCGAGGAAGCCACCUGGUUGGAAGGGUGGUGACGGUAGUGGUAGAAGAAGCACCGGCUAACUACGUG
rnacentral:rRNA from 1 species